rnacentral:rRNA from 1 species
AACGAACGCUGGCGGCAGGCCUAACACAUGCAAGUCGAACGAACCUUUCGGGGUUAGUGGCGGACGGGUGAGAAACACGUGGGAACGUGCCUUUAGGUUCGGAAUAACUCAGGGAAACUUGUGCUAAUACCGAAUGUGCCCUUCGGGGGAAAGAUUAAUCGCCUUUAGAGCGGCCCGCGUCUGAUUAGCUAGUUGGGUGAGGUAAUGGCUCACCAAGGCGACGAUCAGUAGCUGGUCUGAGAGGAUGAUCAGCCACAUUGGGACUGAGACACGGCCCAAACUCCUACGGGAGGCAGCAGUGGGGAAUCUUGCGCAAUGGGCGAAAGCCUGACGCAGCCAUGCCGCGUGAAUGAUGAAGGUCUUAGGAUUGUAAAAUUCUUUCACCGGGGACGAUAAUGACGGUACCCGGAGAAGAAGCCCCGGCUAACUUCGUG